rnacentral:rRNA from 1 species
AUUGAACGCUGGCGGCAGGCCUAAUACAUGCAAGUCGAGCGGAUGAAGGGAGCUUGCUCCUCGAUUCAGCUGCGGACGGGUGAGUAAUGCCUAGGAAUCUGCCCGGUCGUGGGGGAUAACGUACGUUAACGGGCCCUAAUACCGCACACGUCCUUAGGGAGAAAGUGAUGGUUCUUCGGACCUCACGCUAUCAGAUGAGCCUAGGUCGUAUUAGCUAGUCGGUGGGGUAAAGGCCUACCAAGGCGACGAUCCGUAACUGGACUGGGAGGAUGAUCAGUCACACUUGAACUGAGACAAGGUCCCGGCUCCUAAGGGAGGCAGGCGUGGGGAAUAUUGGACAAUGGGGGAAAGGCUGAUCGAGCCAUGCCGGGUGGAGGAAGAAGGUCUUCGGAUUGUAAAACACUUUUAAUUGGGGGGAAAGAAAGUAAGAUGAUACCUUGCUGUUUUGACGGUACCAACAGAAUAAGCCCCGGCUAACCUCGUG